rnacentral:lncRNA from 1 species
CGCGGGGGGCGAGGUCGGCGAGAACGCGCCGGAGCUGGACGGGAUCUUCGACGCGCUCUCGCGCGCGACGGCGUUCGGCGUCGCGCCGGGACGGCGGGGGAAGUGCUUCUCGUGCGACCAGCCGAACCGAGCGCGGUCGGCGGAACUCUGCUCUCUCUGCGGACGACGGCGAGGCGCGGGGAGGGAGGGACGACGACGACGGUGAGAGACGACGACGACGAAGAAGCCAUUCAAACGACGAAGAGAAGAUGUUUUUCGUUGGCGCGAGAUCCGCGGAGAGCGCCAUUCGGGACGCGCGAGCGACGCGCGCGCACCGUCGGCGACGGGUCGUCUCCCGCCGACGGCGACGCGCCGGCCGCGCCGGCGUCGCGCGGGGUCUUCCAGUCGAAACCCUGGGACAUCCCGUGGAGGCGCGGCGAGCCCACUGGACCGCCCCCGGCGGAAGAGGACGAAGUGGGCACGCUGCAGCGCGCAGCUGACAUUUCGCAAACACGAACCAACGCCAACGGC